rnacentral:rRNA from 1 species
AUGAACGCUGGCGGCGUGCCUAAUACAUGCAAGUCGAGCGAACAGACGAGGAGCUUGCUCCUCUGACGUUAGCGGCGGACGGGUGAGUAACACGUGGAUAACCUACCUAUAAGACUGGGAUAACUUCGGGAAACCGGAGCUAAUACCGGAUAAUAUAUUGAACCGCAUGGUUCAAUAGUGAAAGACGGUUUUGCUGUCACUUAUAGAUGGAUCCGCGCCGCAUUAGCUAGUUGGUAAGGUAACGGCUUACCAAGGCAACGAUGCGUAGCCGACCUGAGAGGGUGAUCGGCCACACUGGAACUGAGACACGGUCCAGACUCCUACGGGAGGCAGCAGUAGGGAAUCUUCCGCAAUGGGCGAAAGCCUGACGGAGCAACGCCGCGUGAGUGAUGAAGGUCUUCGGAUCGUAACACUCUGUUAUUAGGGAAGAACAAAUGUGUAAGUAACUAUGCACGUCUUGACGGUACCUAAUCAGAAAGCCACGGCUAACUACGUG